rnacentral:rRNA from 1 species
UACGAAGGGGGGCUAGCGUUGCUCGGAAUUACUGGGCGUAAAGGGCGCGUAGGCGGACAGUUAAGUCAGAGGUGAAAGCCCAGGGCUCAACCCUGGAAUUGCCUUUGAUACUGGCUGUCUUGAGUGCGGGAGAGGUGUGUGGAACUCCGAGUGUAGAGGUGAAAUUCGUAGAUAUUCGGAAGAACACCAGUGGCGAAGGCGACACACUGGCCCGUAACUGACGCUGAGGCGCGAAAGCUAGGGGAGCAAAUGGG